rnacentral:rRNA from 1 species
CCUACGGGUGGCAGCAGUGAGGAAUAUUGGUCAAUGGACGAGAGUCUGAACCAGCCAAGUAGCGUGAAGGAUGACUGCCCUAUGGGUUGUAAACUUCUUUUAUAUGGGAAUAAAACGUUCCACGUGUGGGAUUUUGUAUGUACCAUAUGAAUAAGGAUCGGCUAACUCCGUGCCAGCAGCCGCGGUAAUACGGAGGAUCCGAGCGUUAUCCGGAUUUAUUGGGUUUAAAGGGAGCGUAGGUGGAUUGUUAAGUCAGUUGUGAAAGUUUGCGGCUCAACCGUAAAAUUGCAGUUGAAACUGGCAGUCUUGAGUACAGUAGAGGUGGGCGGAAUUCGUGGUGUAGCGGUGAAAUGCUUAGAUAUCACGAAGAACUCCGAGUGCGAAGGCAGUUCACUGGACUGCAACUGACACUGAGGCUCGAAAGUGUGGGUAUCAAACAGGAUUAGAUACCCCUGUAGUC